GGUUCAUUACAGGAACCACAGGGGUCAAAGGUUUUAUGACGCCACUGACAGGCAACUAAAUGAAACGUCCUGUGUAAUUAAAAUUAAAUAAGAUUUCUCUGGGUUUGAACGUUGUUGGAAACAUUUAGGAUAGUG